rnacentral:piRNA from 1 species
UGGGAUGGAUUCGUGGAUAUGGCAGA